rnacentral:rRNA from 1 species
UACGGGGGGGGCAAGCGUUGUUCGGAAUUACUGGGCGUAAAGGGUUCGUAGGCGGUGCGGCAAGUCGGAAGUGGAAUCUCCAGGCUCAACUUGGAGGCUGCUCCCGAAACUGCCGUGCUAGAGUGCGGGAGAGGCCAGUGGAAUUGCAGGUGUAGCGGUGAAAUGCGUAGAUAUCUGCAGGAACACCCGUGGCGAAGGCGGCUGGCUGGACCGCAACUGACGCUGAGGAACGAAAGCUAGGGGAGCAAACAGG